rnacentral:rRNA from 1 species
UACGGGGGGGGGCAAGCGUUGUUCGGAAUUACUGGGCGUAAAGGGCUCGCAGGCGGCCGACUAAGUCAGACGUGAAAUCCCUUGGCUUAACCAAGGAAUGGCGUCUGAUACUGGACGGCUUGAAUCCGGGAGAGGGAUGUGGAAUUCCCGGUGUAGCGGUGAAAUGCGCAGAUAUCAGGAAGAACACCAAUGGCGAAGGCAGCUCUCUGGGACGGUACUGACGACUGAGACGCGAAAGCGUGGGGAGCGAACAGG